AAUCUUCCGCAAUGGACGAAAGUCUGCCGGAGCGAUGCCGCGUGAGUGAUGAAGUUCUUCGGAUCGUAAAACUCUGUGGCUAGGGAAGAACAAGUAUCGGAGUAAUAUGCCGGUACCUUGACGGUACCUCACCAAAACGCCCCGGCUAACUUCGUGCCAGGAGCCGCGGUAAUACGUAGGGGGCAAGCGUUGUCCGGAAUUAUUGGGCGUAAAGGGCACGCAGGCGGUUAUUUAAGUCUGAUGUGAAAUCUUGUGGCUUAACCACAAGCGGUCAUUGGAAACUGGAUAACUUAAGUACAGAAGAGGAGAGUGGAAUUCCACGUGUAGCGGUGAAAUGCGUAGAGAUGUGGAGGAACACCAGUGGCGAAGGCGGCUCUCUGGUCUGUAACUGACACUGAGGUGCGAAAGCGUGGGGAGCAAACA
rnacentral:rRNA from 1 species